GAUGAACGCUGGCGGCGUGCCUAAUACAUGCAAGUCGAGCGAACAGACGAGGAGCUUGCUCCUCUGACGUUAGCGGCGGACGGGUGAGUAACACGUGGAUAACCUACCUAUAAGACUGGGAUAACUUCGGGAAACCGGAGCUAAUACCGGAUAAUAUAUUGAACCGCAUGGUUCAAUAGUGAAAGACGGUUUUGCUGUCACUUAUAGAUGGAUCCGCGCCGCAUUAGCUAGUUGGUAAGGUAACGGCUUACCAAGGCGACGAUGCGUAGCCGACCUGAGAGGGUGAUCGGCCACACUGGAACUGAGACACGGUCCAGACUCCUACGGGAGGCAGCAGUAGGGAAUCUUCCGCAAUGGGCGAAAGCCUGACGGAGCAACGCCGCGUGAGUGAUGAAGGUCUUCGGAUCGUAAAACUCUGUUAUUAGGGAAGAACAAAUGUGUUAGUAACUAUGCACGUCUUGACGGUACCUAAUCAGAAAGCCACGGCUAACUACGUG
rnacentral:rRNA from 1 species